rnacentral:rRNA from 1 species
GACGAACGCUGGCGGCGUGCUUAACACAUGCAAGUCGAGCGGAAAGGCUCCUUCGGGGGUACUCGAGCGGCGAACGGGCGAGUAACACGUGAGUAAUCUGCCCUGCGCUCUGGGAUAGCCACCGGAAACGGUGAUUAAUACCGGAUAUGACCGCUACACGCAUGUGUUGGUGGUGGAAAGUUUUUCGGCGCAGGAUGUGCUCGCGGCCUAUCAGCUUGUUGGUGAGGUAAUGGCUCACCAAGGCUUUGACGGGUAGCCGGCCUGAGAGGGUGACCGGUCACACUGGGACUGAGACACGGCCCAGACUCCUACGGGAGGCAGCAGUGGGGAAUAUUGGACAAUGGGCGGAAGCCUGAUCCAGCAACGCCGCGUGAGGGAUGACGGCCUUCGGGUUGUAAACCUCUUUCAGUACCGACGAAGCGAAAGUGACGGUAGGUACAGAAGAAGCCCCGGCUAACUUCGUGCCAGCAGCCGCCGUAACAC